rnacentral:rRNA from 1 species
AAUAUUGCGCAAUGGAGGAAACUCUGACGCAGCGACGCCGCGUGAGCGAUGAAGGUUUUCGGAUUNUCAAGCUCUGUCUUUGGGGANGACGGUCUUCGGACUUGACGGUACCCAAGAAGAAAGCCCCCGCUAACGACGCUCCAGCAGCCGCGGUAAUACGUAGGGGGCAAGCGUUGUCCGGAAUUAUUGGGCGUAAAGGGUUCGUAGGCGGCCUUUUAAAUCAGGUGUGAAAGCCCACGGCUUAACCGUGGGAUUGCAUUUGAAACUGGAAGGCUUGAGUAUCGGAGAGGGUAGUGGAAUUCCCAGUGUAGCGGUGGAAUGCGUAGAUAUUGGGAGGAACACCAGUGGCGAAGGCGACUACCUGGACGAAAACUGACGCUGAGGCACGAAAGCUAGGGGAGCAAAC